GAUGAACGCUGGCGGCAUGCCUAACACAUGCAAGUCGAACGGCAAGUGGUGUUUCCAUUGGCGGUCGGGUGAGUAACGCGUAAGAACCUGCCCUUGGGAUGGGAACCACAGCUGGAAACGGCUGCUAAUACGCCGUAGGCUGAGGAGCACAACGUAGAAUCCGCCUGAGGAGGCGCUCGCUUUUGAUUAGUUAGUUGGUGAGGGAAUGGCUUACCAAGUCGAUGAUCAGUAGCUGGUCCGAGAGAAGGAUCGGACACACUGGAACUGGGACACGGGCCAGACUGGGACGGGAGGAAGGAGUGGGGAAUAAUGGAAGAUGGGAGUAAGGAAGAUUCAGCAAUGGGGCGAGGGUUAAGAAGGCAAUGGGGCGUGAAAGUAGAAGGAUUAGGGAAGAAGAGCAGCAGGUUAAGAAGAAGAAGUAAUGACGGUAUCUAGAGAAUAAGCACCGGCUAACUCUGUG
rnacentral:rRNA from 1 species